GUCCAGACUCCUACGGGAGGCAGCAGUGGGGAAUAUUGCACAAUGGGGGGAACCCUGAUGCAGCGACGCCGCGUGGGCGAGGAAGUAUUUCGGUAUGUAAAGCUCUAUCAGCAGGAAAGAAAAUGACGGUACCUGACUAAGAAGCCCCGGCUAACUACGUGCCAGCAGCCGCGGUAAUACGUAGGGGGCAAGCGUUAUCCGGAUUUACUGGGUGUAAAGGGAGCGUAGACGGUGAAGCAAGUCUGAAGUGAAAGGCGGGGGCUCAACCCCCAGACUGCUUUGGAAACUGUUUGACUGGAGUGCAGGAGAGGUAAGUGGAAUUCCUAGUGUAGCGGUGAAAUGCGUAGAUAUUAGGAGGAACACCAGUGGCGAAGGCGGCUUACUGGACUGUAACUGACGUUGAGGCUCGAAAGCGUGGGGAGCAAACAGGAUUAGAUACCCUCGUA
rnacentral:rRNA from 1 species